CAAGAGACCCCUGUGAGGCAUGAGGGGCAGAGUGAGAGUGAUAGUGAAUGGAGCCCAAUUACGGACUGAGUUUGCCCUGGCCUCAGGCUGGGAGAAGUAAUCAUAAUC